rnacentral:lncRNA from 1 species
CGAGAUGCGGGGUAUGGGUUUAUUAGCCCCAGUAAAAUGACUUGCUCCCUUAGAAUUCUUCGCAUAAAGUCACGAACUGUAGUUCAAUAUAUUUUUUAUUUCUCUGAUACACCUCUCAUUAGAUAAAUGGAUCUGGAUCUGAAAAAUAUAUACUAAUGGUCAACAAAAGUAGAGUAGUCCCUUUGGAAAGGGCAAAAGGGAAUAAAAGCACGGCUAAAAUAUAUACCAUUCAUGCCCUGUCUCAACAAUUUCUGCAUCUCAUCAUAAUUAAAACAUGAUUCGCAUCUAAUCAGAACUAAAAACCAGUUAACAGCUCGAUCAAUGCCAGCAUUUAAAAUCUAAACACCCUACAAUCCUGUAAUGCAAUAACAAAGAAAAACUGAAUAGUGGUUGUCCCCCUUGAUUCUUCAACAUGUCCUCUCUUCUGCCUCCCUAUCCUACAAUACAACAACCAAGAAAUAGAGCAAUUAAUCAUAAGCGCAUAGCAAUAAGACCAAAAAGAUUGGUUCAGUUGAACUAUUAGUAAGCAGGAGACACGACGAAGAUCAAGAAUUUACAGACAUCAUGUGCAAACAUGCAACAUAUCAUCAUUGCAGUACUGCCGCAAGUAUCGAUCACUAAUUACAAUAUCAUGACAGAAUGCUCAUGUGGCCAUUCUUAUCCCAAGAUAUGCCACCUUCUUCUAUGUGGCAUAUUCUAAUGCAAGUAUGGACCAAGAAUAUGUUCUAAUUACUUGCUAGCACUCCAAGAUAAUUAUAGAACAUGCAAGUAUGGGCCAGCGAAUCGAUUAUAUGUGCAGGUACAAAAGAUAAAGUGGAUAACCAGCCAAUUAGAUAAAACUGUAAAAAAAAUAAACACCUGACUGUACUUCCACUGAAGCUAUUGCAGCAUAGGUAGUUUUUUGCUCUUGGUCUGCACCAAUGGACCCAAGGUAUCAUGCUCUUGUGUUAGAGAAUACCAUGUUUUCUUUUUUAUUCUUUGUUUAUAUUGGCAUGUGAAAUGCAAUUCACCACUUUGUACUCAGACUUGUUUUGCCCAUACACCAGAAGCACCAGAAGGCAAACAUAAACAAUAAACAGGAGGCAACAAUGAAUUAAAAAAACAGAGGAUAUGCAUAUGCUAAUGAAUUAAAAGUAAACAUUUGGAAAUAUCCCAAAUGGUAAANNNNNNNNNNNNNNNNNNNNNNNNNNNNNNNNNNNNNNNNNNNNNNNNNNNNNNNNNNNNNNNNNNNNNNNNNNNNNNNNNNNNNNNNNNNNNNNNNNNNAAGAUCUGGGCAAGAAGGAAUGGAAAAAUACAAACCUAUAUUAUACAUACUAUUACAGUUCGAUAUGAAGAUUCUCAAGAGAAAUGUGUAAACUAAAAUACUAAAAAGAAUCAUAGCCAAUUAAAAAAUGGCUGCAUACACAUAUACAGAUUUUCAGGAGAAAUGUGUAAACUAAAACACCUAACAAAUAUUUGAAUCAUGUAUAUGCAAAGCACAUUGCUAGCACGACCCACCAUGCAAAUGAUCAUCAUAAAUACUUGUGAAGCUGUCUCAAGACCCUCUCCCAUUUGAAGCCGCACCUCCCUGUCUCUCCUGCAGAUCGAAUCCAGCGCUGCCGCCAUCGCCGGGAAGCUCGCCUCCGCACCCGGGGCAGACGAGAUGCGGGGUAUGGGUUUAUUAGCCCCAGUAAAAUGACUUGCUCCCUUAGAAUUCUUCGCAUAAAGUCACGAACUGUAGUUCAAUAUAUUUUUUAUUUCUCUGAUACACCUCUCAUUAGAUAAAUGGAUCUGGAUCUGAAAAAUAUAUACUAAUGGUCAACAAAAGUAGAGUAGUCCCUUUGGAAAGGGCAAAAGGGAAUAAAAGCACGGCUAAAAUAUAUACCAUUCAUGCCCUGUCUCAACAAUUUCUGCAUCUCAUCAUAAUUAAAACAUGAUUCGCAUCUAAUCAGAACUAAAAACCAGUUAACAGCUCGAUCAAUGCCAGCAUUUAAAAUCUAAACACCCUACAAUUCUGUAAUGCAAUAGCAAAGAAAAACUGAAUAGUGGUUGUCCCCCUUGAUUCUUCAACAUGUCCUCUCUUCUGCCUCCCUAUCCUACAAUACAACAACCAAGAAAUAGAGCAAUUAAUCAUAAGCGCAUAGCAAUAAGACCAAAAAGAUUGGUUCAGUUGAACUAUUAGUAAGC